rnacentral:rRNA from 1 species
UGGGGAAUAUUGCACAAUGGGCGAAAGCCUGAUGCAGCGACGCCGCGUGGGGGGAUGACGGCCUUCGGGUUGUAAACCCCUUUCAGCAGGGAAGAAGCGUAAGUGACGGUACCUGCAGAAGAAGCGCCGGCUAACUACGUGCCAGCAGCCGCGGUAAUACGUAGGGCGCAAGCGUUAUCCGGAAUUAUUGGGCGUAAAGAGCUCGUAGGCGGUUUGUCGCGUCGGCCGUGAAAACUCAACGCUUAACGUUGAGCUUGCGGUCGAUACGGGCAGACUUGAGUUCGGUAGGGGAGACUGGAAUUCCCGGUGUAGCGGUGAAAUGCGCAGAUAUCGGGAGGAACACCAAUGGCGAAGGCAGCUCGCUGGGACGUGACUGACGCUGAGACGCGAAAGCGUGGGGAGCAAACAGGAUUAGAUACC